AGCAGCAGCCGCGGGAAUACGGAGGGAGCUAGCGUUGUUCGGAAUUACUGGGCGUAAAGCGCACGUAGGCGGCUUUGUAAGUUAGAGGUGAAAGCCUGGAGCUCAACUCCAGAACUGCCUUUAAGACUGCAUCGCUUGAAUCCAGGAGAGGUGAGUGGAAUUCCGAGUGUAGAGGUGAAAUUCGUAGAUAUUCGGAAGAACACCAGUGGCGAAGGCGGCUCACUGGACUGGUAUUGACGCUGAGGUGCGAAAGCGUGGGGAGCAAACAGGAUUAGAUACCCCCGUAGUCCCUGUCUCUUAUAC
rnacentral:rRNA from 1 species